rnacentral:rRNA from 1 species
ACAUGCAAGUCGAGCGGACCGACGGGAGCUUGCUCCCUUAGGUCAGCGGCGGACGGGUGAGUAACACGUGGGUAACCUGCCUGUAAGACUGGGAUAACUCCGGGAAACCGGGGCUAAUACCGGAUGCUUGAUUGAACCGCAUGGUUCAAUCAUAAAAGGUGGCUUUUARCUACCACUURCAGAUGGACCCGCGGCGCAWUARCUAGUUGGUGAGGUAACGGCUCACCAAGGCGACSAUGCGUARCCSACCUGARAGGGUGAUCGGCCACACUGGGACUGARACACGGCCCARACUCCUACGGGAGGCARCARUAGGGAAUCUUCCGCAAUGGACGAAAGUCUGACGGARCAACGCCSCGUGAGUGAUGAAGGUUUUCGGAUCGUAAAACUCUGUUGUUARGGAARAACAAGUACCGUUCGAAUAGGGCGGMACCUUGACGGUACCUAACCAGAAAGCCACGGCUAACUACGUGCCARCAGCCGCGGUAAUACGUARGUGGCAAGCGUUGUCCGGAAUUAUUGGGCGUAAAGCGCGCGCAGGCGGUUUCUUAAGUCUGAUGUGAAAGCCCCCGGCUCAACCGGGGAGGGUCAUUGGAAACUGGGGAACUUGAGUGCAGAAGAGGAGAGUGGAAUUCCACGUGUAGCGGUGAAAUGCGUARARAUGUGGAGGAACACCAGUGGCGAAGGCGACUCUCUGGUCUGUAACUGACGCUGAGGCGCGAAAGCGUGGGGAGCGAACAGGAUUAGAUACCCUGGUAGUCCACGCCGUAAACGAUGAGUGCUAAGUGUUAGAGGGUUUCCGCCCUUUAGUGCUGCAGCAAACGCAUUAAGCACUCCGCCUGGGGAGUACGGUCGCAAGACUGAAACUCAAAGGAAUUGACGGGGGCCCGCACAAGCGG